rnacentral:rRNA from 1 species
GAUGAACGCUGGCGGCGUGCUUAACACAUGCAAGUCGAACGGGGAUUAUUUCAUUGAAGCUUCGGCAGAUUUGAUUUAAUCCUAGUGGCGGACGGGUGAGUAACGCGUGGGUAACCUGCCUUAUACAGGGGGAUAACAGUCAGAAAUGGCGGCUAAUACCGCAUAAGCGCACAGGGCCGAAUGGCCCGGUGUGGAAAAAUGAGGUGGUAUAAGAUGGACCCGCGUUGGAUUAGCCAGUUGGCAGGGUAACGGCCUACCAAAGCGACGAACCAUAGCCGGCCUGAGAGGGUGAACGGCCACAUUGGGACUGAGACACGGCCCAGACUCCUACGGGAGGCAGCAGUGGGGAAUAUUGCACAAUGGGGGAAACCCUGAUGCAGCGACGCCGCGUGAAGGAAGAAGUAUCUCGGUAUGUAAACUUCUAUCAGCAGGGAAGAAAAUGACGGUACCUGACUAAGAAGCCCCGGCUAACUACGUGCCAGCAGCCGCAGUAACAC